AUUGAACGCUGGCGGCAUGCUUUACACAUGCAAGUCGAACGGUAACAGGCCGCAAGGUGCUGACGAGUGGCGAACGGGUGAGUAAUGUAUCGGAACGUGCCCAGUCGUGGGGGAUAACGCAGCGAAAGCUGUGCUAAUACCGCAUACGAUCUAUGGAUGAAAGCGGGGGACCGUAAGGCCUCGAGCGAUUGGAGCGGCCGAUAUCAGAUUAGGUAGUUGGUGGGGUAAAGGCUCACCAAGCCGACGAUCUGUAGCUGGUCUGAGAGGACGACCAGCCACACUGGGACUGAGACACGGCCCAGACUCCUACGGGAGGCAGCAGUGGGGAAUUUUGGACAAUGGGCACAAGCCUGAUCCAGCAAUGCCGCGUGCAGGACGAAGGCCAUCGGGUUGUAAACUGCUUUUGUACGGAGCGAAACGGCUCUCUCUAAUAAAGGGAGCUAAUGACGGUACCGUAAGAAUAAGCACCGGCUAACUACGUGCCAGCAGCCGCCGUAACAC
rnacentral:rRNA from 1 species